AACGAACGCUGGCGGCAGGCUUAACACAUGCAAGUCGAACGCCUGUAGCAAUACAGGAGUGGCAGACGGGUGAGUAACACGUGGGAACGUGCCCAAAGGUACGGAACAACUCCGGGAAACUGGAGCUAAUACCGUAUGUGCCCGGAAGGGGAAAGAUUUAUCGCCUUUGGAUCGGCCCGCGUCUGAUUAGCUAGUUGGUGGGGUAAUGGCCUACCAAGGCGACGAUCAGUAGCUGGUCUGAGAGGAUGGCCAGCCACACUGGGACUGAGACACGGCCCAGACUCCUACGGGAGGCAGCAGUGGGGAAUAUUGGACAAUGGGCGCAUGCCUGAUCCAGCCAUGCCGCGUGAGUGAUGAAGGCCUUAGGGUUGUAAAGCUCUUUCGCCAGGGACGAUAAUGACGGUACCUGGAUAAGAAGCCCCGGCUAACUUCGUGCCAGCCGCCGCAGUAA
rnacentral:rRNA from 1 species